rnacentral:rRNA from 1 species
GACGUAGGGAGCGAGCGUUGUCCGGAUUCAUUGGGCGUAAAGAGCGCGCAGGCGGUUUGGUAAGUCGGAUGUGAAAUCCCGGGGCUCAACCCCGGACCUGCAUCCGAUACUGCCCGACUAGAGGUAGGUAGGGGAGAGUGGAAUUCCUGGUGUAGCGGUGAAAUGCGCAGAUAUCAGGAGGAACACCGGUGGCGAAGGCGGCUCUCUGGGCCUUACCUGACGCUGAGGAGCGAAAGCUGGGGGAGCGAACAGG